AUACGUAGGUGGCAAGCGUUGUCCGGAAUUAUUGGGCGUAAAGCGCGCGCAGGUGGUUCCUUAAGUCUGAUGUGAAAGCCCCCGGCUCAACCGGGGAGGGUCAUUGGAAACUGGGGAACUUGAGUGCAGAAGAGGAUAGUGGAAUUCCAAGUGUAGCGGUGAAAUGCGUAGAGAUUUGGAGGAACACCAGUGGCGAAGGCGACUGUGUGGUCUGUAACUGACACGGAGGCGCGGAAGCGUGGGGAGCAAACAGGAUUAGAUACCCUGGUAGUCCACGCCGUAAACGAUGAGUGCUAAGUGUUGGGGGGUUUCCGCCCCUCAGUGCUGCAGCUAACGCAUUAAGCACUCCGCCUGGGGAGUACGGUCGCAAGACUGAAACUCAAAUGAAUUGACGGGG
rnacentral:rRNA from 1 species